CCACUUUGUGAUUCAUGACUGGGGUGAAGUCGUAACAAGGUAACCGUAGGGGAACCUGCGGUUGGAUCACCUCCUUACCUGCAAGA
rnacentral:rRNA from 1 species